rnacentral:rRNA from 1 species
GAUGAACGCUGGCGGCGUGCCUAAUACAUGCAAGUCGAGCGAACAGACGCGGCGCUUGCUCGUCUCACGUGAGGGGCGGGCGGGUGAGAAACACGUGGAUAACCUACCUAUAAGACUGGGAUAACCUCGGGAAACCGGAGCUAAUACCGGAUAAGCUAUUGCAGCACGUGGGUCAAUAGUGAGAGACGGUUUUGCUGUCUCUUAUAGAUGGAUCUGCGCCGCAUUAGCUAGUUGGUAAGGUAACGGCUUACCAAGGCAACGAUGCGUAGCCGACGUGAGAGGGUGAUCGGCCACACUGGAACUGAGACACGGUCCAGACUCCUACGGGAGGCAGCAGUAGGCAAUGGGCCGCAAUGGGCGAAAGCUUGACGGAGCAACGGCGCGUGAGUGAUGAAGGUCUUCGGAUCGUAAAGCUCUGUUAUUAGGGAAGAACCAAUGUGUAAGGAAACAUGCAGGUCGUGACGGUACCUAGUCAGAAAGCCACGGCUAACUACGUG